AAAAAAAGAAAAAAAAGAAAGAAACAAAGAAAUAUGUAAAAUUCACACAUUAUGAUAUGAUACAACUUUUAGUCUGUUCAGAAUGUAUAAACAGUUAUCCAUGAGAUUGAUAGCGAUCAUACCUUUAAGAUCCAAUUUUAAUAAUAAAAUCAACUUAUCAUCUCAUGUAAAUGAACAAACAUGAAGGAUUAAUUUUUCAAAGAACAUAGGAAAGCAUCUAUUUCUAUGUUUGUCAGUUUAUCACAAGUAAACCUAUACAGAUAAGGAAAUAAAUUCACAUGCAUAUCAAAUCAACAAAGUAAAAUAUAAAAAUAAUUAAUUAUAACCUACACAUAGAGAAAAUGAUGCAGUGGUUCAG
rnacentral:misc_RNA from 1 species